UGUUUGUGAAAUGGUUUUUACAGUGCUUUUUCCUUGUUAGUGUCUCUCAGAGUUUUGUUUAUGUUAUGUCGGUUCUUUUUAACUUGUAAUAAAUAAUGAGUGCUGAAAAUAAAUCGCAGAAACGUUUUAAAGCAAAAUUUGCUAAAUUUUUCAAUCAAAUCAUCUUUUUAUCACUAUUUUAAAGUGUUCUUACAUAUUAAAACAAUUAUUUAAUAUUAUAUUUCUUAAAAAAAACAUUUUUUGUUUAAAACAAUUCAAAAAUACCCGCCGUGAAAAUGACUUUUCACGCAUUUUCACGGUCCAGAAAUAAUGUUCAUCUGAUCGAAAUUUGAGGUAUAUAAGCACCUUUUGACUAUUACAUUAUUAUUAUUAUUAUCUUAUAAUAAUCUUGGUAUUAAUUCAUUCACUCAUUCCGUCCGCACCCCUGCUCGGUUUUCGGUGACGGAGAAAAGAACAAGUUAUGGAGAGAGAAAGAUAUAUCUUUAUUUUGCAAAUGAGGGUUCGCUUGACCUGCAAUCUUUUAAAGAGGAUUAAUAAAUAACUCUGAGGACCCAGACAAUUGAAAAUGGCAUAAGAACAUCUUCGUCUAAAAUCUUAAUCUUCUUCCUUUUUGUUUUUAAAAUAAAAAUUCAUAUAUCUGUAUAUAUGUAUAUAGGAGAGAGUGACAAACAGUGGGACACUUUUUUUCAAAUACAUAUUAAUAUGUCAAUUUUAUAUAUUUUUGGACACUUUUUGGUAUAUUACAAUAAAGUUUGAACUCUUUUCUACAUAAUCCAUAUAUUCUAUUUAAAUUAUAUUGUGAUUAAAUAGAAAAAUUUCAAGUUUUUGGAAUUUUUCUUGUUUUGAAGGUUUCUGUUAAACAGUGCGGGAAACCCGUUAUUAAAAAAUGAAUAAUUGUUUGAAUAAUAAUAUUCUGCUUCAUAUACUUUGUAAAUAUAUAUGUUUUGCAUUAAAUAACG